rnacentral:rRNA from 1 species
GAUGAACGCUGGCGGCGUGCCUAAUACAUGCAAGUCGAGCGAACAGACGAGGAGCUUGCUCCUCUGACGUUAGCGGCGGACGGGUGAGUAACACGUGGAUAACCUACCUAUAAGACUGGGAUAACUUCGGGAAACCGGAGCUAAUACCGGAUAAUAUAUUGAACCGCAUGGUUCAAUAGUGAAAGACGGUUUUGCUGUCACUUAUAGAUGGAUCCGCGCCGCAUUAGCUAGUUGGUAAGGUAACGGCUUACCAAGGCAACGAUGCGUAGCCGACCUGAGAGGGGGAUCGGCCACACUGGAACUGAGACACGGUCCAGCCUCCUACGGGAGGCAGCAGUAGGGAAUCUUCCGAAAUGGGCGAAAGCCUGACGGAGCAACGCCGGGUGGGUGAUGAAGGUCUUCGGAUCGUAAAACCCUUUUAUUAGGGAAAAAAAAAUGUGUAAGUAACUAUGCACGUUUUGACGGUACCAAAUCAGAAAGCCACGGCUAACUACGU